rnacentral:rRNA from 1 species
ACGGCUCAGUAACACGUAGUCAAUCUAACCUAUGGACGGGGAUAACCUCGGGAAACUGAGGAUAAACCCCGAUAGAUCAUAAUGCCUGGAACGGUUUAUGGUCCAAAUGAUUCGUCGCCGUAGGGUGGGACUGCGGCCUAUCAGCUUGUUGGUGAGGUAAUGGCCCACCAAGGCUAUUACAGGUACGGGCUCUGAGAGGAGAAGCCCGGAGAUGGGUACUGAGACACGGACCCAGGCCCUAUGGGGCGCAGCAGGCGAGAAACCUUUGCAAUGUGCGCAAGCACGACAAGGUUAAUCCGAGUGUUUCCUGCUAAAGGAAUCUUUUGUUAGUUCUAAAACCACUGAUGAAUAAGGGGUGGGCAAGUUCUGGUGUCAGCCGCCGCGGUAAAACCAGCACCUCAAGUGGUCAGGAUGAUUAUUGUGCCUAAAGCAUCCGUAGCCUGUUCUGUAAGUUUCCGGUUAAAUCCAUUAGCUCAACUAAUGGGCUGCCGAAAAUACUGCAAAACUAGGGAGUGGGAGAGGUAGACGGUACUCGGUAGGAAGGGGUAAAAUCCUUUGAUCUAUUGAUGACCACCUGUGGCGAAGGCGGUCUACCAGAACACGUUCGACGGUGAGGGAUGAAAGCUGGGGGAGCAAACCGGAUUAGAUACCCGGGUAGUCCCAGCUGUAAACGAUGCAGACUCGGUGAUGCCCUGGCUUGUGGCCAGUGCAGUGCCGCAGGGAAGCCGUUAAGUUUGCCGCCUGGGAAGUACGUACGCAAGUAUGAAACUUAAAGGAAUUGGCGGGGGAGCACCACAAGGGGUGAAGCCUGCGGUUCAAUUGGAGACAACGCCGGA